UGACCUCAGAUCAGGCAAGGCAACCCGCUGAAUUUAAGCAUAUUAAUAAGCGGAGGAAAAGAAACUAACAAGGAUUCCCCUAGUAAUGGCGAAUGAAGCGGGAACAGCUCAAAUUUAAAAUCUUCAUUGCUUGCAACGGCGAAUUGUAGUUUCGAGAAGCACUUUCUCGGCGGAUCCGAGGUCGUCCAAGUUGCUUGGAACAGCACGUCGUAGAGGGUGACAACCCCGUCUGCGGCGACCUCGGCCGUUCACGAUGUGCUUUCGACGAGUCGGGUUGUUUAGGAAUGCAGCCCAAAAUGGGUGGUAAACUCCAUCUAAAGCUAAAUAUUGGCACGAGACCGAUAGCGAACAAGUACCGUGAGGGAAAGAUGAAAAGCACUUUGAAAAGAGAGUUAAAAAGUACGUGAAACCGUUAAAAGGGAAACGAAUGGGGUUAGCAAUGCGUCGUGCGAGAUUCAGCCGGUGGGUGGGCCAGGCGGGCGGUUGGCGGAUCUGAAUGGACCGCUGCCGUUCGGGUUGGUUUCCCGACCGUCGCACUUCUCGCAGGCGCGCGACAACGUCGGUUAGGGCUGGGUUUCAAAGGCGGUGGAAAGGUAGGUUUGGACUCUCGGGCCCGAACUGUUACAGUCCUCCGUUUGUCAUGGCCCGGACCUGACCGAGGAGCUUGCGGUGCAUGCCGUUCGGCUAGGGUCCCGUCUUCCCGGUCGGUCGUCGGAUGCGGUGGACUGCGUGCAGUGCGCCGCGACUGCUGCCGGUCGCGAGGGCGGUGAUUUCGUACUAUGCACCCACGACGUUGGCGGUCAUAUGGCCUCAUCCGACCCGUCUUGAAACACGGACCAAGGAGUCUAACAUGUGUGCGAGUCUUUGAGUGACCGAAACUCCGAGGCGUAAUGAAAGUGAAGGCGACUUCGGUCGCUGAGGUGAGAGCCNUUUUCCACAAAAAAAAGGCGCAUCAUUGACCGACCUAUUCUACUCUUAGAAAGGUUUGAGUAAGAGCGCAUCUGUUGGGACCCGAAAGAUGGUGAACUAUGCCUGAAUAGGGUGAAGCCAGAGGAAACUCUGGUGGAGGCUCGUAGCGAUUCUGACGUGCAAAUCGAUCGUCAAAUUUGGGUAUAGGGGCGAAAGACUAAUCGAACUGUCUAGUAGCUGGUUCCCUCCGAAGUUUCCCUCAGGAUAGCUGGAACUUACGGCAGUUUUAUCAGGUAAAGCGAAUGAUUAGAGGUCUUAGGGUUAAAACAACCUUAACCUAUUCUCAAACUUUAAAUUGGUAAGAAGUCCGACUUGCUUAAUUGAAGCCGGACAGUGAAUGCGAGUUCCUAGUGGGCCAUUUUUGGUAAGCAGAACUGGCGAUGCGGGAUGAACCGAACGCGCGGUUAAGGUGCCAAAGUCGACGCUCAUCAGACCCCACAAAAGGUGUUGGUUGCUCUAGACAGCAGGACGGUGGCCAUGGAAGUUGGAAUCCGCUAAGGAGUGUGUAACAACUCACCUGCCGAAGCAACUAGCCCUGAAAAUGGAUGGCGCUCAAGCGUCGCACCUAUACCGUGCCGUCGGAGCAGAUGCGAAGCUCCGACGAGUAGGAGGGCAUGGGGGUCGUGACGCAGCCUCUGGCGCGAGCCUGGGUGAAACGGCCUCCAGUGCAGAUCUUGGUGGUAGUAGCAAAUAUUCAAAUGAGAGCUUUGAAGACCGAAGUGGAGAAAGGUUCCAUGUGAACAGCAGUUGGA
rfam:Nematostella vectensis strain CH2 x CH6 NEMVEscaffold_233_Cont19989, whole genome shotgun sequence.